CCGGGAGGCAGCAGUGGGGAAUUUUGGACAAUGGGCGCAAGCCUGAUCCAGCAAUGCCGCGUGUGUGAAGAAGGCCUUCGGGUUGUAAAGCACUUUUGUCCGGAAAGAAAACCUCUGGGUUAAUACCCCGGGGGGAUGACGGUACCGGAAGAAUAAGCACCGGCUAACUACGUGCCAGCAGCCGCGGUAAUACGUAGGGUGCAAGCGUUAAUCGGAAUUACUGGGCGUAAAGCGUGCGCAGGCGGUCCGCUAAGACAGAUGUGAAAUCCCCGGGCUUAACCUGGGAACUGCAUUUGUGACUGGCGGGCUAGAGUAUGGCAGAGGGGGGUAGAAUUCCACGUGUAGCAGUGAAAUGCGUAGAGAUGUGGAGGAAUACCGAUGGCGAAGGCAGCCCCCUGGGCCAAUACUGACGCUCAUGCACGAAAGCGUGGGGAGCAAACAGGAUUAGAUACCCUGGUAGUCCACGCCCUAAACGAUGUCGCUAGUUUCGGGUCUUCAUUAGUUAUAACAGCUUGGGAGAAGUGACCGCCGGGAGACGUCGCAGA
rnacentral:rRNA from 1 species